CCUACGGGCGGCAGCAGUGGGGGAUAUUGGGCAAUGGGCGCAAGCCUGACCCAGCAACGCCGCGUGAAGGAAGAAGGCUUUCGGGUUGUAAACUUCUUUUCUAAGGGACGAAGAAAGUGACGGUACAUUAGGAAUAAGCUCCGGCUAACUACGUGCCAGCAGCCGCGGUAAUACGUAGGGAGCGAGCGUUAUCCGGAUUUACUGGGUGUAAAGGGCGUGUAGGCGGGAUGGCAAGUCAGGCGUGAAAACUAUGGGCUCAACCCAUAGCCUGCGUUUGAAACUGUCGUUCUUGAGUGAUGGGGAGGCAAGCGGAAUUCCGUGUGUAGCGGUGAAAUGCGUAGAUAUACGGAGGAACACCAGUGGCGAAGGCGGCUUGCUGGACAUUAACUGACGCUGAGGCGCGAAAGCGUGGGGAGCAAACAGGAUUAGAUACCCCUGUAGUC
rnacentral:rRNA from 1 species